rfam:Gorilla gorilla gorilla genomic chromosome, chr3, whole genome shotgun sequence
GUAGUUAUAGUUUAAUUAAACAUUAGAUUGUGGAUCUAAUAAUAGAAGUCUACAGCUUCUUACCUACC